rnacentral:rRNA from 1 species
CAGUAGCCGCGGGAAUACAGAGGGUGCGAGCGUUAAUCGGAUUUACUGGGCGUAAAGCGUGCGCAGGCGGUUAUAUAAGACAGAUGUGAAAUCCCCGGGCUCAACCUGGGAACUGCAUUUGUGACUGUAUAGCUAGAGUACGGCAGAGGGGGAUGGAAUUCCGCGUGUAGCAGUGAAAUGCGUAGAUAUGCGGAGGAACACCGAUGGCGAAGGCAAUCCCCUGGGCCUGUACUGACGCUCAUGCACGAAAGCGUGGGGAGCAAACAGGAUUAGAUACCCGAGUAGUCCCUGUCUCUUAUAU